rnacentral:sRNA from 1 species
AGCAAAAGGAUUCCAAUCAACUCUCAUACAAACUGCGACCAUUAGUUCUCAGACAUGCAAGCAAUUGCCGAGGAUCAUGCCAUCAUUUCUUAAUGUGUGUUAGUGUAUACUUUUUUCACGCUGCUUUUCACGCAGAGUGUCCGAGUUCACCAAUAUAAUUCUGGAUCUGGAUUCCCGGCCGAGUCACCUGAUCCUUCUGACACCCCGUUGGACUUCUCUCCGUUUGCAAGCUGGGUUGGACAAUCCGUACUUGGAAAUCCCAGUUUGUUCCUGCAUGCUCCUCUAACCUGGCACUCUGGCACUGCGCUUUCUAUUCGCUAUAAGAUACACAUGAAAUUUCGCUCUGCGGGGCUCCUGCCUCCAUGCUAGUAGGAGGCCACACAGCAUACCCAGAGCUUUCGGGAUAGCUCCUCAGCCAAACCUGAAAGAGAAGCUCCUUUUUUUUGGUUCAAUUACUGCAGCGGGGGACAGAGCGCAGUGGGGAAGAAACUACCCCACAACCAUUUUAAACACUAGAAGCUCCGUUCUUCCUUUUUCAUCUCUUUCCGCGUUCAUCUCUCCCGCCCUUCCUACACUGCUCGCUGUAAGCGCCAUCUCACCAGCAGAGAGAACAGGAGAGAAGCGUUCUCAGCAGAGAGCAGAGAGCAGAAAGCUACAAGCUAUAUACCAUCGCGAGCCAUUGAACUUCCUAAUUCAGCUAUCGGCCUGAAGCGUGUUUUCAUUUCGUCCUACGAGCCGUGUCAUAAAUAUAUUCCAUGAGAAAAAUGGCAUCCAACGACCCGCCAGCUUUCUCCGAGCGCACGAUGAGCAUGGCGGAGCCGGGGAUGUUGUUCAUGGGAUCGGUGUAUCAAUUCACUGCUGUCUUUCUAGAGACAGUCUUUAGAAAGGGCGAUAUUCUAGCCCCUAUAUUUCGCCUGCAGGAGAUGCGCAGCGAGGCGUUUUCGAGAUUUUGGAUCAAUUUUACCAACGUCCGCGACGGCGCCGAAGGGCCCCCAGUCGGCUCAUCCGCGCUAAUCCCCCCCCUCCUCGCCACAGCCGAUGGCCUCGUCCUCGACGUCGGCCCCGGCACCGGCACGCAGACCCCGUUCUUCACCAACGCAAACCUAGUCCGCAUGUACGGCGCCGAGCCGUGCCAGGGACUGCACAAGGACCUCACGGCGAAGGUGGAGGCGUGCGGGCUGAGCGACAAGUACCAGAUCCUGCCGUGCUCGGCGGAGCGGAAGGAGCUGUACCCGGCGCUGGAGAGGGAGGGGUUGUUGGCGGAGA